GUAACAUCAUUGUUGAAGAUGGGACAAAGCUCUCAUUAGACAAGCACAAAGAUGGGUUGAAUAGAUCGUAUAAGUUUGUGGAGAAAAUAAUAUAGAUUUUGUUAUAGCUGGACUCGAGAGACGAGCUGCCUAUGUACCCGAAGUGGGAUCAAGCCAAAACGUAGUUCGAUUACAACGAAGAGAAUGUAUUUCGUCAUUAUUAGGAAUGACGUUGUUUGUGUCUAAAU
rnacentral:lncRNA from 1 species